UAAAAAUAUGUGAAUACUUGUAACAACUGGGAUAAAAAAUGAGAGAUCUAAGUUAGCCAUGAAAUGAGUUGCAAAUUUUUCAGGGCAUUCUAAGUUUUUUCUCUUUUCUUUUCUUCUUUUUUUUUGAGACAGGGUCUCACUGUGUUACCCAGACUGCAGUACAGUGAUGUCAUCAUAGCUCACUGCAGCCACCAACCCCUGGGCUCAAGCGAUCCUCCCACCUCAGCCUCCCAAGUAUCUAGGAUCACAGGCACACACUCCCAUGCUUGCGUGCUAAUUUUCUUUUUUUCUUUUUUUUUGAGACAGAUUCUUGCUCUGUCGCCCAGGCUGGAGUGCAGUGGUGUGAUCUCAGCUCACUGUAACCUCCACCUCCCGGGUUCAAAUGAUUCUCCUGCCUCAGCCUCCCGAGUAGCUAAGAUUACAGGUGCCCACCACCAUGCCUGGCUAAUUU
rnacentral:lncRNA from 1 species